rnacentral:rRNA from 1 species
AACAGGAUUAGAUACCCUGGUAGUCCACGCUGUAAACGAUGUCGACUUGGAGGUUGUGCCCUUGAGGCGUGGCUUCCGGAGCUAACGCGUUAAGUCGACCGCCUGGGGAGUACGGCCGCAAGGUUAAAACUCAAAUGAAUUGACGGGGGCCCGCACAAGCGGUGGAGCAUGUGGUUUAAUUCGAUGCAACGCGAAGAACCUUACCUACUCUUGACAUCCAGAGAAUUUGCUAGAGAUAGCUUAGUGCCUUCGGGAACUCUGAGACAGGUGCUGCAUGGCUGUCGUCAGCUCGUGUUGUGAAAUGUUGGGUUAAGUCCCGCAACGAGCGCAGCCCUUAUCCUUUGUUGCCAGCACGUAUUGGUGGGAACUCAAAGGAGACUGCCGGUGAUAAACCGGAGGAAGGUGGGGAUGACGUCAAGUCAUCAUGGCCCUUACGAGUAGGGCUACACACGUGCUACAAUGGCAUAUACAAAGAGAAGCGAACUCGCGAGAGCAAGCGGACCUCAUAAAGUAUGUCGUAGUCCGGAUUGGAGUCUGCAACUCGACUCCAUGAAGUCGGAAUCGCUAGUAAUCGUAGAUCAGAAUGCUACGGUGAAUACGUUCCCGGGCCUUGUACACACCGCCCGUCACACCAUGGGAGUGGGUUGCAAAAGAAGUAGGUAGCUUAACCUUCGGGAGGGCGCUUACCACUUUGUGAUUCAUGACUGGGGUGAAGUCGUAACAAGGUAACC